AUUGAACGCUGGCGGCAAGCCUAACACAUGCAAGUCGAACGAGUGGCGGACGGGUGAGUAAUGUCUGGGAAACUGCCUGAUGGAGGGGGAUAACUACUGGAAACGGUAGCUAAUCCCGCAUACCAUCGGAUGUGCCCAGAUGGGAUUAGCUAGUAGGUGGGGUAAAGGCUCACCUAGGCGACGACCCCUAGCUGGUCUGAGAGGAUGACCGGCCACACUGGAACGUAGACACGGGCCAGACUGCUACGGAAGGCAGCAGUGGGGAAUAUUGCACAAUGGGCGCAAGCCUGAUGCAGCCAUGCCGCGGGUAUGAAGAAGGCCUUCGGGUUGUAAAGUACUUUCAGCGGGGAAGCGUUACCCGCAGAAAAAGCACCGGCUAACUACGUGCCAGCAGCCGCGGUAAUUC
rnacentral:rRNA from 1 species